UACGGGGGGGGCAAGCGUUGUUCGGAAUUACUGGGCGUAAAGGGCUCGUAGGCGGCCAACUAAGUCAGACGUGAAAUCCCUCGGCUUAACCGGGGAACUGCGUCUGAUACUGGAUGGCUUGAGUUUGGGAGAGGGAUGCGGAAUCCCCGGUGUAGUGGUGAAAUGCGUAGAUAUCGGGGGGAACACCCGUGGCGAAGGCGGCUCUCUGGGACGGUACUGACGCUGAGACGCGAAAGCGUGGGGAGCGAACAGG
rnacentral:rRNA from 1 species